UUAAUUUGAGAGUUUGAUCCUGGCUCAGGACGAACGCUGGCGGCGUGCCUAAUACAUGCAAGUCGAACGAACUCUGGUAUUGAUUGGUGCUUGCAUCAUGAUUUACAUUUGAGUGAGUGGCGAACUGGUGAGUAACACGUGGGAAACCUGCCCAGAAGCGGGGGAUAACACCUGGAAACAGAUGCUAAUACCGCAUAACAACUUGGACCGCAUGGUCCGAGCUUGAAAGAUGGCUUCGGCUAUCACUUUUGGAUGGUCCCGCGGUGUAUUAGCUAGAUGGUGGGGUAACGGCUCACCAUGGCAAUGAUACGUAGCCGACCUGAGAGGGUAAUCGGCCACAUUGGGACUGAGACACGGCCCAAACUCCUACGGGAGGCAGCAGUAGGGAAUCUUCCACAAUGGACGAAAGUCUGAUGGAGCAACGCCGCGUGAGUGAAGAAGGGUUUCGGCUCGUAAAACUCUGUUGUUAAAGAAGAACAUAUCUGAGAGUAACUGUUCAGGUAUUGACGGUAUUUAACCAGAAAGCCACGGCUAACUACGUGCCAGCAGCCGCGGUAAUACGUAGGUGGCAAGCGUUGUCCGGAUUUAUUGGGCGUAAAGCGAGCGCAGGCGGUUUUUUAAGUCUGAUGUGAAAGCCUUCGGCUUAACCGAAGAAGUGCAUCGGAAACUGGGAAACUUGAGUGCAGAAGAGGACAGUGGAACUCCAUGUGUAGCGGUGAAAUGCGUAGAUAUAUGGAAGAACACCAGUGGCGAAGGCGGCUGUCUGGUCUGUAACUGACGCUGAGGCUCGAAAGUAUGGGUAGCAAACAGGAUUAGAUACCCUGGUAGUCCAUACCGUAAACGAUGAAUGCUAAGUGUUGGAGGGUUUCCGCCCUUCAGUGCUGCAGCUAACGCAUUAAGCAUUCCGCCUGGGGAGUACGGCCGCAAGGCUGAAACUCAAAGGAAUUGACGGGGGCCCGCACAAGCGGUGGAGCAUGUGGUUUAAUUCGAAGCUACGCGAAGAACCUUACCAGGUCUUGACAUACUAUGCAAAUCUAAGAGAUUAGACGUUCCCUUCGGGGACAUGGAUACAGGUGGUGCAUGGUUGUCGUCAGCUCGUGUCGUGAGAUGUUGGGUUAAGUCCCGCAACGAGCGCAACCCUUAUUAUCAGUUGCCAGCAUUAAGUUGGGCACUCUGGUGAGACUGCCGGUGACAAACCGGAGGAAGGUGGGGAUGACGUCAAAUCAUCAUGCCCCUUAUGACCUGGGCUACACACGUGCUACAAUGGAUGGUACAACGAGUUGCGAACUCGCGAGAGUAAGCUAAUCUCUUAAAGCCAUUCUCAGUUCGGAUUGUAGGCUGCAACUCGCCUACAUGAAGUCGGAAUCGCUAGUAAUCGCGGAUCAGCAUGCCGCGGUGAAUACGUUCCCGGGCCUUGUACACACCGCCCGUCACACCAUGAGAGUUUGUAACACCCAAAGUCGGUGGGGUAACCUUUUAGGAACCAGCCGCCUAAGGUGGGACAGAUGAUUAGGGUGAAGUCGUAACAAGGUAGCCGUAGGAGAACCUGCGGCUGGAUCACCUCCUUUCUAAGGAA
rnacentral:rRNA from 2 species